AGUGAACGCUGGCGGUAGGCCUAACACAUGCAAGUCGAACGGCAGCACAGUAAAGCUUGCUCUUACGGGUGGCGAGUGGCGGACGGGUGAGGAAUACAUCGGAAUCUACUUUUUCGUGGGGGAUAACGUAGGGAAACUUACGCUAAUACCGCAUACGACCUACGGGUGAAAGCAGGGGAUCUUCGGACCUUGCGCGAUUGAAUGAGCCGAUGUCGGAUUAGCUAGUUGGCGGGGUAAAGGCCCACCAAGGCGACGAUCCGUAGCUGGUCUGAGAGGAUGAUCAGCCACACUGGAACUGAGACACGGUCCAGACUCCUACGGGAGGCAGCAGUGGGGAAUAUUGGACAAUGGGCGCAAGCCUGAUCCAGCCAUACCGCGUGGGUGAAGAAGGCCUUCGGGUUGUAAAGCCCUUUUGUUGGGAAAGAAAAGCAGCAGGUUAAUACCCCGCUGUUCUGACGGUACCCAAAGAAUAAGCACCGGCUAACUUCGUG
rnacentral:rRNA from 1 species